AACGCGAAGAACCUUACCUGGGCUCGAAGCGCAGUGGACCGGGGUAGAAAUAUCCCUUCCCCUUAAAAGGCUGCUGCGGAGGUGCUGCAUGGCUGUCGUCAGCUCGUGUCGUGAGAUGUUGGGUUAAGUCCCGCAACGAGCGCAACCCUUAUCGUCUGUUACUAACGCGUCAUGGCGAGGACUCGGGCGAAACUGCCUGGGAUAACCAGGAGGAAGGUGGGGAUGACGUCAAGUCCUCAUGGCCUUUAUGUCCAGGGCUACACACGUGCUACAAUGGCCGGUACAAACCGUCGCGAACCCGUGAGGGAGAGCUAAUCGGAAAAAGCCGGCCUCAGUUCGGAUUGGAGUCUGCAACUCGACUCCAUGAAGCUGGAAUCGCUAGUAAUCGCGGAUCAGAACGCCGCGGUGAAUACGUUCCCGGGCCUUGUACACACCGCAUAC
rnacentral:rRNA from 1 species